AUGCUCUCAAAGUUUGAGCUGGGGUUCAGGUCGAGCAGGUCGUCUUCGAACUCGUCGUCGGACGACGAAGAGCCCGAGGAGGAGGAAGAGGACGAGGAGAGCGAGGAGGACGCGUGCGAGGGCGCGCUGGACGGGGCGGGCGAGGCUGCGCGUAGGCUGGCGUAGCCGCGGUGGUCAGCGGGCGAUCGGCUGGCGGCUGGCGAUGAUGCUGCGCUGCUGCGGCCGCUCAGACUCCGGCCAUCGGGCGAGCAUCCCGGGCCUCCAUCUUCGUACAACCCCAGUGGAUCACUGGGGUCGGCGCUCGCUCCCAGGCCCCCGACGGGAGACGCCGAAGCGCCCAGGCUUCCAAACAGGUAGACGCGCUUCACUUUCUUGUCGGCAGGGUGUUUGGCUGGGGUGGCCAGCGCACUGGACGGCGAGGAGGAGGCGGCCGGAGUGGCCGCACUGGGAGUCCGCACCUUGUAGACGGCCGUGGGCUCCCCCAGGGGCAGCAGGGCAGCUUGCUCUGGAGAGAACGAUGCAGCCGCCUUGCUGCCGCCCGCCGGGACCAGCUUAGCGUGGGGCUUGCCGACCGAGCUGCCCGCCACCUUGGGGCCACAGCUCUUCUUGGGCGCGGGCUUGGAGCUGCCGCCCGCGCCACCCCCCGCGUGGCUGCUUCCCGCGUGGCCGCUGCUGCCCGCGACCUUGUCGCCCUUCUCCCCUGGCUUGGCUGUGGCCGCCGAUCCCGCGCCCGCGUUGCCCGACUUCACCUUCUUUCGCGGCCGGUACUUGUAGUCAGGGUAGUCAGCCAUGUGCUUGAGGCGCAGCCGCUCCGCCUCCUGGAUGAACGGAAUCUUGUCGCUGUCCUUGAGCAGCUUCCAGCGUUUGCCUAGCCGCUUGGAGAUCUCGGCGUUGUGCAUGUCGGGCGACUGCUCCAUGAUCUUGCGCCGCUCGAUCUGCGACCACACCAUAAAGGCGUUCAUGGGCCGCUUGAUGUGGCCACUGGGCGUCUUGCACCAGCUGGGGUCGUCCGCCUUGCCGCCCGUCGACGCGGUGGAGCCAGGCGUCGGGGAGGACGCGAUGCCCAGCUCCAGGCCGGCGCCCGAGUCCGAGCUCUCCCCGGCCAGCAGAGCCUCAGUGUUCUCCGCGUUGUUGGUCUGUUGUACCAUGGCCCCGGCUUGCCGGGCGCCCACGCGCGCUCACACGCUCGCGGCGCGGUCGCCGGGCCCUGCGGGCUCCCCGGGGCGGAGACCAGGGUCCCCUGAGCGGCGCGCGGGCCAGGGGCGGCCGCCUCCCGCCGCCAACCUAGAGUCCCCGAGGCCCUCCGUCCUCCCUCACCGCUGAAGUGCUCCCUGCGGGCACCGAGGCUGGAGUCGGCCGCGGCGAGGAGUUUCUCCAAACGUUGGUAGCCGGAGUAUCUUCCAAACGCAAGUUUCUCGCCGCCUCCGGGGCAAGUCUUUCCCCCACCCCUUUCCCUGAAGCAGUCGAUUGCAGUUCACGAGAGCUCGCGGUAGCUCAGGAAAGCGACAUCGUCUCUAGCGCCUAAGUCCCUUUCCUGCAGUGCAAAGCCAAAGCGACUCUGGCUCCGGGACUCUCUGUGGGCGGAAUCGGCGCUGAGGAGUUGGUGCAAUUAUUUUGUUGCAAGGUAGGAAGCCAAGAAGCUUGCAUGCAACAGACCGGCAUGAAUAAAUGUAUGUUUCUCCCUCCCUCCUGCAAGAAGGGGAGCUGGUUACCGGCAGAGUUCCCCCACUGCAGACUCUCUAAGAAACAGCGUGCAAGAACUGGAAACCGGGAGGGAGACGGCCCUCUUCCCCUCACUCUGUUUCUCUGGCUGCAGCUUAGAGC
rnacentral:sRNA from 1 species